GGGCCCGUAGCUCAGCUAGGUAGAGCAUCUGGCUUUUAACCAGAUGGCCCGGGGUUCGAAUCCCCGCGGGCCCG
rnacentral:tRNA from 1 species